rnacentral:rRNA from 1 species
UAGGGAAUCUUCCACAAUGGACGCAAGUCUGAUGGAGCAACGCCGCGUGAGUGAAGAAGGUCUUCGGAUCGUAAAGCUCUGUUGUUGGUGAAGAAGGAUAGAGGCAGUAACUGGUCUUUAUUUGACGGUAAUCAACCAGAAAGUCACGGCUAACUACGUGCCAGCAGCCGCGGUAAUACGUAGGUGGCAAGCGUUGUCCGGAUUUAUUGGGCGUAAAGCGAGCGCAGGCGGAAUGAUAAGUCUGAUGUGAAAGCCCACGGCUCAACCGUGGAACUGCAUCGGAAACUGUCAUUCUUGAGUGCAGAAGAGGAGAGUGGAACUCCAUGUGUAGCGGUGGAAUGCGUAGAUAUAUGGAAGAACACCAGUGGCGAAGGCGGCUCUCUGGUCUGCAACUGACGCUGAGGCUCGAAAGCAUGGGUAGCGAACAGGAUUAGAUACCCUGGUAGUCCAUGCCGUAAACGAUGAGCGCUAGGUGUUGGGGACUUUCCGGUCCUCAGUGCCGCAGCAAACGCAUUAAGCGCUCCGCCUGGGGAGUACGACCGCAAGGUUGA